rnacentral:misc_RNA from 1 species
GAUGAAGAACGUAGCGAAAUGCGAUAAGUAAUGUGAAUUGCAGAAUUCAGUGAAUCAUCGAAUCUUUGAACGCACAUUGCGCCCCUUGGUAUUCCGAGGGGCAUGCCUGUUCGAGCGUCAUUAUAACCCUCAAGCUCAGCUUGGUGUUGGGGCCUGCUGCACUGGCAGCCCUUAAAAUCAGUGGCGGCGCCAUCUGGCUCUAAGCGUAGUAAUUCUUCUCGCUAUGGAGUCCUGGUGGAUGCUUGCCAUCAACCCCCAAUUUUUCUAUGGUUGACCUCGGAUCAGGUAGGGAUACCCGCUGAACUUAAGCAUAUCAAUAAGCGGGGGA